rnacentral:misc_RNA from 1 species
UAAUAAGUGUUUUAUGGCACUUUUUAAAUCCAUAUCCACCUUGUGUGCAAUGUCAGUCGAUCUUCUUCAAUGGAGGAUCGACCAAACAUCAACCUUUAUCUUUUAACUCUUUGUCUGAAAAAUAUUAUGAAUAAAGCAAUUCAAAAUA